rnacentral:rRNA from 1 species
UACGGAGGGUGCGAGCGUUGUCCGGAAUCAUUGGGCGUAAAGGGCGCGUAGGUGGCCCCGGUCAGUUCGUGGUGAAAGCGCGGGGCUCAACCCUGCGUCGGCCAUGAAUACUGCCGCGGCUGGAGCACUGUAGAGGCAGGCGGAAUUCCGGGGUGUAGCGGUGGAAUGCGUAGAGGAUCCGGAAGAACACCGGUGGCGAAGGCGGCCCUGCUGGGCAGUUGCUGGACACUGAGGCGCCGACAGCGUGGGGAGCAACAGG